UACGGAGGAUGCAAGCGUUAUCCGGAAUGAUUGGGCGUAAAGCGUCCGCAGGUGGCAGUGCAAGUCUGCUGUCAAAGACUGGGGCUCAACCCUGGGCAGGCGGUGGAAACUGCACAGCUGGAGUGCGGUAGGGGCAGAGGGAAUUCCCAGUGUAGCGGUGAAAUGCGCAGAUAUCAGGAGGAACACCAAUGGCGAAGGCAGCUCGCUGGGACGGUACUGACGCUGAGACGCGAAAGCGUGGGGAGCAAACAGG
rnacentral:rRNA from 1 species